rnacentral:rRNA from 1 species
UACGGGGGGGCAAGGCGUUGUUCGGAAUUACUGGCGUAAAGGGCUCGAUAGGCGGCCAACUAAGUUCGGAUGUGAAAUCCCCAGGCUUAACCUGGGAACUCGGCAUCCGAGUACUGGAUGGCUUGAAUCCGGGAGAAGGGAUGCGGAAUUCCAGGUGUAGCGGUGGAAAUGACGGUAGAUAUCUGGAGGAACACCGGUGGCGAAAGGCGGCGAUACCUGGACCGGC